rnacentral:rRNA from 1 species
GACGAACGCUGGCGGCGUGCUUAACACAUGCAAGUCGAGCGGUAAGGCCCUUUCGGGGGUACACCGAGCGGCGAACGGGUGAGUAACACGUGGGUGACCUGCCCUCAGCUCUGGGGAUAAGCCUGGGAAACCGGGUCUAAUACCGGAUAUGACUCCAUGACGCAUGUUGUGGGGUGAAAGCCUUGUGCGGCUGAGGAUGGGCCCG